rnacentral:rRNA from 1 species
UACGUAGGGGGCUAGCGUUGUCCGGAAUCAUUGGGCGUAAAGCGCGUGUAGGCGGCCCGGUAAGUCCGCUGUGAAAGUCGGGGGGCUCAACCCUCGGAUGCCGGUGGAUACUGUCGGGCUUGAGUACGGAAGAGGCGAGUGGAAUUCCUGGUGUAGCGGUGAAAUGCGCAAAUAUCGAGGAGGAACACCGAUGGCGAAGGCAGCUCGCUGGGACGGUACUGACGCUGGAGGCGCGAAAGCGUGGGGAGCAAACAGG